CCCCGGCGCCACAAGUGGGGGCCAGAUUUAUUGGGUCUAAAGCGUUCGUAGCCUGUUUGGAAAAUCCUUUGUGAAAUCGUCAGGCCUAACCUGACGGAUGGCAGAGGACACUACCUUACUUGGGACCGGUAGGGGUUUGGAGUAUUUUGUGGGGAGCGGUAAAAUGCAAUAAUCCACAAAAGACUACCUGUGGCGAAGGCGCCAAACCAGCACGGUUCCGACGGUGAGGAACGAAAGCUAGGGGA
rnacentral:rRNA from 1 species